CGUGUGACUGCGUACCUUUUGUAUAAUGGGUCAGCGACUUAUAUUCUGUAGCAAGGUUAACCGAAUAGGGGAGCCGAAGGGAAACCGAGUCUUAACUGGGCGUUAAGUUGCAGGGUAUAGACCCGAAACCCGGUGAUCUAGCCAUGGGCAGGUUGAAGGUUGGGUAACACUAACUGGAGGACCGAACCGACUAAUGUUGAAAAAUUAGCGGAUGACUUGUGGCUGGGGGUGAAAGGCCAAUCAAACCGGGAGAUAGCUGGUUCUCCCCGAAAGCUAUUUAGGUAGCGCCUCGUGAAUUCAUCUCCGGGGGUAGAGCACUGUUUCGGCAAGGGGGUCAUCCCGA
rnacentral:rRNA from 1 species